rnacentral:rRNA from 1 species
CCUACGGGAGGCAGCAGUAGGGAAUAUUGCUCAAUGGGGGAAACCCUGAAGCAGCAACGCCGCGUGGAGGAUGAAGGUUUCGUAUUGUAUACUCCUUUUGUUUGAGAAGAUAAUGACGGUCUCUUACGAAUAAUCACCUGCUAACUCCGUGCCAGCAUCCGCGGUCAUCCGGAGGGUGCAAGCGUUACUCGGAAUCACUGGGCGUAAAGGGCGCGUAGGUGGGUUAGCAAGUCAGAUGUGAAAUCCUUUGGCUUAACCAUAGAACUGCAUUUGAAACUGUUAGUCUUGAGUAUGGGAGAGGUAGGUGGAAUGCGUGGUGUAGGGGUAAAAUCCGUAGAGAUCAAGAAGAAUACUCAUUGCGAAGGCAACCUGCUAGAACAUAACUGACGCUGAUGCACGAAAGCGUGGGGAGCAAACAGGAUUAGAUACCCCAGUAGUC